rnacentral:pre_miRNA from 1 species
CCUCAGUCCAAAAAAAAAAAGCAAACCCUAGGUCUUAUAUGAAAAUUUUUUAUAAUUCGUAUUUUUAUUGUUGUUAGAUGAUAAAUAUGAUUAAUAUUUUAUGCAUGACUUGUCUUUUUAAUUUUUUUCAUAAUUUUUUCAAAUAAAACGGACGGUCAAACGUUGGACACGGAAACCAGGGUUGUCUUUUUU